rnacentral:rRNA from 1 species
GCUUAACGCGAAGAACCUUACCUGGCCUUGACAUGCACUGGACUGACGCUGAAAGGCGUCUUCUCUUCGGAGCCGGUGCACAGGUGCUGCAUGGCUGUCGUCAGCUCGUGUCGUGAGAUGUUGCGUUAAGUCGCGCAACGAGCGCAACCCCUGUCCUUAGUUGCCAUCAUUAAGUUGGGCACUCUAGGGAGACAAACCCCUCUGAGGGUGGGAAGGUGGGGAUGACGUCAAGUCAGGAUGGCCCUUACGGCCAGGGCUGCACACGUGCUACAAUGCCUGAUACAGAGGGAAGCAAGACCGCGAGGUGGAGCAAAUCCUAAAAAUCAGGCCCAGUUCAGAUUGCGGUCUGCAACUCGACUGCAUGAAGUUGGAAUCGCUAGUAAUGGCGUAUCAGCUACGACGCCGUGAAUACGUUCCCGGGUCUUGUACACACCG